rnacentral:rRNA from 1 species
ACACAGGUGGUCAGGUAGAGAAUACCAAGGCGCUUGAGAGAACUCGGGUGAAGGAACUAGGCAAAAUGGUGCCGUAACUUCGGGAGAAGGCACGCUGAUACGUAGGUGAAGCGACUUGCUCGUGGAGCUGAAAUCAGUCGAAGAUACCAGCUGGCUGCAACUGUUUAUUAAAAACACAGCACUGUGCAAACACGAAAGUGGACGUAUACGGUGUGACGCCUGCCCGGUGCCGG